AUUGAACGCUGGCGGCGUGCUUAACACAUGCAAGUCGAGCGGCAGCGCGGGAGCAAUCCUGGCGGCGAGCGGCGAACGGGUGAGUAAUGCUUCGGAAUCUGCCCUUCAGUGGGGAAUAACCAGUCGAAAGACUGGCUAAUACCGCAUACGAACUGAGGUUGAAAGCAGGGGAUCGCAAGACCUUGCGCUGAUGGAUGAGCCGAAGUCGGAUUAGCUUGUUGGUGGGGUAAUGGCCUACCAAGGCGACGAUCCGUAGCUGGUCUGAGAGGACGACCAGCCACACUGGGACUGAGACACGGCCCAGACUCCUACGGGAGGCAGCAGUGGGGAAUAUUGGACAAUGGGGGCGAACCCUCGAUCCAGCGACGCCGCGUGUGUGAAG
rnacentral:rRNA from 1 species